ACUAGUGAUUUCCGUAGGGGAACCUGCGGAAGGAUCAUUUGCACGUGCACAUUACAUGGUUGUACACCUGUUUUAUUAUCUGUAGAUUACAGAUGCUCUGUGACUUGGAGAAAAAGAAAUAAAUGCGAGUCAUCGUUCCACAGUAUUACUUGCAGCAGUGGAUGUCUUGGGUCGGAUGCCGAUGAAGAACGCAGCCAAGUGUGAUACGCACAGCGAUGCGCGGAGGUCCGUGACUUGAAGGUAUUCGAAUGCAGCGCGCGUUGUGCCCAUGCGCAAUGCACGUCUAGUUCGGCGUUUGUAAAGUGCCCGGAUGUGCACCAUGGUGACACCGACUGAGUAUAUGCACACCACUUCACUUUUUAACUGUGGCGUGCCCAUAGCAUGCACACCUGCGUAGGAACACGAAGUACUUUAUAUUGUAUGACAUUUGAAAGUGUCCUGCUGAGGUCAACGUGUUGGUUCUUUUCAAUGGACCUUCUCUUCAUUUAUGAAAUUCCUGGACUUGAGCUUAGACUGGAUCACCCGCUGAAUUUAAGCAUAUCAA
rnacentral:rRNA from 1 species